rnacentral:tRNA from 1 species
AGACCCAGAGUCGAUCAAGCGGUUAAUAUUAGUUUUGUGUCCGGCCUCUCACGCCGGAAACAGGGGUUCGAUUCCCCUUGGGGCUA